rnacentral:rRNA from 1 species
GGAGGAAAGCAGGGGAUCGUAAGACCUUGCGCUUUUGGAGUGGCCGAUGCCUGAUUAGCUAGUUGGUGGGGUAAGAGCCUACCAAGGCGACGAUCAGUAGUUGGUCUGAGAGGACGACCAGCCACACUGGGACUGAGACACGGCCCAGACUCCUACGGGAGGCAGCAGUGGGGAAUUUUGGACAAUGGGCGAAAGCCUGAUCCAGCAAUGCCGCGUGAGUGAAGAAGGCCUUCGGGUUGUAAAGCUCUUUCAGUCGAGAAGAAAAGGUUGCGACUAAUAAUCGCAACUUAUGACGGUAUCGACAGAAGAAGCACCGGCUAACUACGUGCCAGCAGCCGCGGUAAUACGUAGGGUGCGAGCGUUAAUCGGAAUUACUGGGCGUAAAGGGUGCGCAGGCGGCUCUGUAAGUCAGAUGUGAAAUCCCCGGGCUUAACCUGGGA